GGGCGAAUAGCUCAGCUGGCCAGAGCACUUGCCUUACAAGCAAGGGGUCACAGGUUCGAGCCCUGUUUCGCCCACCA
rnacentral:tRNA from 1 species